rnacentral:rRNA from 1 species
AGAGUUUGAUCCUGGCUCAGGAUGAACGCUGGCGGCGUGGAUAAGGCAUGCAAGUCGAACGGUUGAAUAUGUACUUGUAUAUGUUCAAUAGUGGCGAACGGGUUAGUAACACGUAGAUUACAUACCCUAUUCAUGGGCAUAACCCAUCGAAAGAUGGGCUAAUUCCCAAUAGUCCGAUUCGUCGGUAAAGGCGAAAGCCGGAAUAGGAAUGGUCUGCGGCUUAUCAGCUUGUUGGUGGGGUAAUGGCCUACCAAGGCGAUGACGGGUAGGGGAUAUGAGAGUAUGUUCCCCAACAGAGGCACUGAGACACGGGCCUCACUCCUACGGGAGGCAGCAGUCGAGGAUAUUCGACAAUGGGCGAAAGCCUGAUCGAGCGACGCCACGUGCUCGAAGAAGCCCUUCGGGGUGUAAAAAGCUUUUCUCCGUGAAGAACCUUUUAGGUGACGGUAGCGGAGGAAUAAGGGGAUCCUAAUUCUGUGCCAGCAGGAGCGGUAAUACAGAAUCCCCGAGCGUUAUCCGGAUUUAUUGGGCGUAAAGGGUCCGUAGGCGUUUUGUUAGGUUUUCUGUUAAAUAUCCAGGGCUCAACCUUGGAAAUGCAGAAAAAACCGGCAAAAUUGAGGACGUUAGAGGCUGAUAGAACGGUCGGUGUAGGGGUGAAAUCCGUUGAUAUCGACCGGAAUACCAAAAGCGAAGGCAUUCAGCUGGGGCGAUCCUGACGCUGAGGGACGAAAGCGUGGGCAUGGAAAAGGAUUAGAUACCCUUGUACUCCACGCUGUAAACGAUGGACACUGGCUAUUUGAAGUGUCGACCCUUCAAGUGGCGAAGCUAACGCGUUAAGUGUCCCGCCUGGGAAGUACGGCCGCAAGGCUAAAACUCAAAGGAAUAGACGGGGCCUCACACAAGCGGUGGAUCAUGUGGCUUAAUUCGUCAGUAAACGAGGAACCUUACCAGGGCUUGACAGAUUAGUGAAAUCCCGUAGAAACACGGGCCCUCCGCGAGGACACUAAUUCAGGUGCUGCAUGGUUGUCGUCAGCAUGUGCUGUGAAGUGCACCCUUAAAUGGGGUAACAUGCGCAACCCUCACUCUAUGUUUUAAAUGUCAUAGAGAACUGCCUGAGACAAUCAGGAGGAAGGCGAGGAUGACGCCAAAUCAGCAUGGCCUUUUGAUGCCCUGGGCCGCACACAUGAUACAAUGGAGUUUAACAAUGGACGAAGCCGCAAGGCGGAGGGAAUCCCACCAAACGGCUCCUUAAUUCGGAUUGAGGUCUGCAACUCGACCUCAUGAAGCUGGAAUCGCUAGUAAUCGCCAAUCAGCUAUGUGGCGAUGAAUAUGUUCCUGAGGCUUGUACUCACCGCCCGUCAAACCAGGAGAGCUGAUAGUACCCUAAGUCCCUCUUUUGAGGGCCCAAGGUAAGAUCAGUAAUAAGGGUUAAGUCGUAACAAGGUAACC